GACGAACGCUGGCGGCGUGCUUAACACAUGCAAGUCGAACGGAAAGGCCCUGCGUUUGUGGGGUGCUCGAGUGGCGAACGGGUGAGUAACACGUGAGUAACCUGCCCUUGACUUUGGGAUAACUUCAGGAAACUGGGGCUAUUACCGGAUAGGAGCUUUUGCUGCAUGGUGUGGGUUGGAAAGUUUCGGCGGUUGGGGAUGGACUCGCGGCUUAUCAGCUGGUUUGUGAGGUAGUGGCUUACCAAGCCUUUGACGGGUAGCCGGCCUGAGAGGGUGACCGGCGACCAUGCGACUACGAGACGGAGCAGUCUGCAACGUGACGCAGCAGGGGGGAAUAUGGCAGAACAGGCCGAAGCCUGAUGUAGAAACGCCGGGAGCGUGAUGACGGCCUUCAAGUUGAAAACAGCUUUCGACGUAGACGAAGAGUGAGUGACGGUAAUGGGUAAAGAAGCAACGGCUAACUACGUG
rnacentral:rRNA from 1 species